rnacentral:rRNA from 1 species
AUGUACCUAUCCCACGAUGAUGCAUGGUGGACUGUUGACCGUUUCGAGGACACCCACAAUCACCCCCUGAUCAAAAAGCCGUCCCUAACAAAAUUCUUAUCAUCACAUCGGUACAUUCCGAAGGAGGAGCAGGACUUCUUGAGGGUUCUGCACGGAUGCAACAUUGAGACUGCGAGGCAGAUGCAGCUGAUGUCAUGGUUCUACGGAAGCGCUAAAGACGUACCCUACACGACACAAGACAUUGCUAAUCAACGAGCUAAGUUCCGCUUAGAGCACUGCCACAAGGACAUUGGGAGCACAAUUGCAUACUUCCAAGAGAGGGCCAAAGAUUCAUAUUUCUACUGGAGAAUCAAACUUGAUGAUGAGGACAUGGUUGAGAACUUGUUCUGGAUAGAUGGCGCAUCACGCAGGGCAUAUGCAAAGUGUAAUGACUGUUUGUCGUUUGACACGACAUACAUGACAAACAUGUACAAGAUGCUGUGUGAACCAUUCAUUGGAAUUAAUAACCAUGGUCAAUCCAUCCAGUUUGGGUGUGGCUUCGUUCGAAAUGAACUAAAGGAAAACUUUGCGUGGCUGUUUAACACAUUCCUCCAUGCAAUGGGUGGUGUUGCCCCUAAAAACAUCACCACAGACCAGGACUUUGCAAUGAGGAGUGCGAUCGACGAGGUCUUCUUGAACAUAAUACACAGAAAUUGCCGCUGGCAUAUAAUGAAGAAGGCGCAUGAGAAACUUGGAAAACUUAUGGCUGAUGAUAAACCACUAAACAAAGCGUUCAAAGACUGUGUCGACAAUAGCUUGACUGGUACGUACCUAAACUGUUGA